rnacentral:lncRNA from 1 species
GGGCCGCUUGGUUUAGUGGGGGCCUUCUCUCCUCAUUUCCGUGUACCUACAUUCACAAGGAAUGGUUGAGUAACGAUCUAUCGGUGAGUAUUUCUCUAAGGCACUAUUGUAUAAGGGAUGGGUCCGAGGAAAUGCGACUCUGACACCAACUGUAACGGCUCCAUAAUUUUAAAAUGAAAUAUGUGUAUUAAAAAGGUCAAAUGCGGAAGCGUAAUAAAAAUUUUGAUUAACAUCCCUUACAUUAAAACCAAAAACGUGCUCAAAGUAUAAAAGAACAAACU